rnacentral:rRNA from 1 species
AAUAUUGGACAAUGGGCGAAAGCCUGAUCCAGCCAUGCCGCGUGUGUGAAGAAGGUCUUCGGAUUGUAAAGCACUUUAAGUUGGGAGGGAGGGUUGUAGAUUAAUACUCUGCAAUUUUGACGUUCUGAACAGAAUAAGCACCGGCUAACUUCGUGCCAGCGGCCGCGGUAAUACGAAGGGUGCAAGCGUUAACCGGAAUUACUGGGCGUAAAGCGCGCGUAGGUGGUUCAGUAAGAUGGGUGUGAAAUCCCCGGGCUUAACCUGGGAACUGCUUUCAUAACUGCUGAGCUAGAGUACGGUAGAGGGUAGUGGAAUUUCCUGUGUAGCGGUGAAAUGCGUAGAUAUAGGAAGGAACACCAGUGGCGAAGGCGACCACCUGGGCUAAUACUGACACUGAGGUGCGAAAGCGUGGGGAGCAAAC